rnacentral:rRNA from 1 species
UCUUUGACCUCGGAUCAGGUAGGGAUACCCGCUGAACUUAAGCAUAUCAAUAAGCGGAGGAAAAGAAACCAACAGGGAUUGCCUCAGUAACGGCGAGUGAAGCGGCAACAGCUCAAAUUUGAAAUCUGGCUCCCUUUGGGGGUCCGAGUUGUAAUUUGCAGAGGAUGCUUUGGCAUUGGCGGCGGUCUAAGUUCCUUGGAACAGGACAUCGCAGAGGGUGAGGAUCCCGUACGUGGGCGCCUGCCUUUGCCGUGUAAAGCUCCUUCGACGAGUCGAGUUGUUUGGGAAUGCAGCUCUAAAUGGGAGGUAAAUUUCUUCUAAAGCUAAAUACCGGCCAGAGACCGAUAGCGCACAAGUAGAGUGAUCGAAAGAUGAAAAGUACUUUGGAAAGAGAGUCAAAUAACACGUGAAAUUGUUGAAAGGGAAGCGCUUGCAGCCAGACUUGCCCGCAGUUGCUCACCCAGGCUCUUGCCUGGGGCACUCUUCUGCGGGCAGGCCAGCAUCAGUUUGGGCGGUUGGAUAAAGGCCUCUUUCACGUACCACCCUUCGGGGUGGCCUUAUAGAGGAGGCGUAACGCAACCAGCCCGGACUGAGGUCCGCGCAUCUGCUAGGAUGCUGGCGUAAUGGCUGUAAGCGGCCCGUCUUGAAACACGGACCAAGGAGUCUAACAUCUAUGCGAGUGUUUGGGUGUCAAGCCCGGGCGCGCAAUGAAAGUAAACGGAGGUGGGAACCCUUCGGGGCGCACCAUCGACCGAUCCUGAUGUCUUCGGAUGGAUUUGAGUAAGAGCAUAGCUGUUGGGACCCGAAAGAUGGUGAACUAUGCUUGAAUAGGGUGAAGCCAGAGGAAACUCUGGUGGAGGCUCGCAGCGGUUCUGACGUGCAAAUCGAUCGUCAAAUUUGGGCAUAGGGGCGAAAGACUAAUCGAACCAUCUAGUGGCUGGUUCCUGCCGAAGUUUCCCUCAGGAUAGCAGUAACGUUUUCAGUUUUAUGAGGUAAAGCGAAUGAUUUAGAGGCAUG